rnacentral:lncRNA from 13 species
GAAACCCAGAAUGGCACCAACAGUGGGAUGGGAAAAAUAUGAUUUAUUGGUAUUUUACUAAUGCAGAACCAGCCUGGGGAAUGCCUUUGCAUCAGAUGAGGACCAUGCAGGAGAUGCCAGCUUUUCUUCAUUUCAGAAAAUUUUACUGGAGCAUCUGCCAAAUAGUAUCCAAAUGUUCACAGGGAUGGCCGGCCUUGCUUGUUUAAGCUUAUACACUCUGCUUCCAAUCUGGGGAAGUGUUUUCCCCAAGAGUCAAAGUGCAUUCCAUGAAAUGCCAGUGCCAUGCAACACUCCUGGAAGAGGAAUUGGACACCAUAAACCUCAGAGACUCCCAGAGUACAUUAGCAAAUUAAAGCUUCUGAGCAAAUGAAAUCCUACAGAAGAGAAACCUAUGUUUAACUCAACAUUUCCCAGUUAUUGGUCCAUUGAACCCUUUUCUUCUUUAAAUUUCACUUAAGUCUAUGAAGCUAGUUCCAAGGAACAUACUUUGGGACAACAGUUUUCAAACUUUCAUGCUUACCAGAGCCCCCUGGAAAGCUUAAUAAGACACAUCUCUUGGCCCUGCCCCCAGAGUUUCUGAGCCAAUAG